AUUGAACGCUGGCGGCAGGCCUAACACAUGCAAGUCGAACGGUAACAGGAAGACGCUUGCUUCUUUGCUGACGAGUGGCGGACGGGUGAGUAAUGUCUGGGAAACUGCCUGAUGGAGGGGGAUAACUACUGGAAACGGUAGCUAAUACCGCAUAACGUCGCAAGACCAAAGAGGGGGACCUUCGGGCCUCUUGCCAUCGGAUGUGCCCAGGUGGGAUUAGCUAGUAGGUGGGGUAACGGCUCACCUAGGCGACGAUCCCUAGCUGGUCUGAGAGGAUGACCAGCCACACUGGAACUGAGACACGGUCCAGACUCCUACGGGAGGCAGCAGUGGGGAAUAUUGCACAAUGGGCGCAAGCCUGAUGCAGCCAUGCCGCGUGUAUGAAGAAGGCCUUCGGGUUGUAAAGUACUUUCAGCGGGGAGGAAGGGAGUAAAGUUAAUACCUUUGCUCAUUGACGUUACCCGCAGAAGAAGCACCGGCUAACUCCGUG
rnacentral:rRNA from 1 species